AAGAAGUCAGGNCGGNUUAAGCCAUAGUACGGNAANANCUAUGCUNCCUGUGAGCCCCGUCCAAGGACGUNAAANGAAGUCAGGCCGAAAGCCACGGCUUGAGCAAACCGUGCUGCCUGUGGCUCCAUCGUGGGGAUGUAAAAACCCGGGAGGCUGNAANCCAUGGAAGCUGUACGCAUGGNGUAGNNGACUAGNGGUUAGAGGAGACCCCUCCCAAGAUACAACGCAGCAGCGGGGCCCAACACCAGGGGAAGCUGUACCCUGGUGGUAAGGACUAGAGGUUAG
rnacentral:lncRNA from 1 species